ensembl:lncRNA
GUGUGUCUGGGAAAGGAAGGGCUGGUAGGGAUAAGGGUCAGUGGCUGUGGGUCCACAGGGAGGACGAGGCAGGGGGUGUUGGGGCCCCUGCAAGCUGGCAUGGCCAGUCUCUCCUGUGGCCCCUGUGAGAAGCCAAGGGAACGCAGCUGCUCAGCCUGGCACCUCCCCACCCCACGUCACUCUUCCGGGCAGAGCCGGGCCAGAGCAGGAGAGGUGGCUCCUUCCUCCUCCGCCCUGAGGGGUCCUCAGCCUGGACUGUCUCGGGGGAAGUCCGCUCACCUCUCUGGGAAUUCAGUGGGACUUGCAGUGCACAGGACCUCAGACAGAAACCAGGGAGCUGAACACGACACCUCCCUUCCCCACACUUCCGCUCCUGCACAGCAGCACAGCCCACCGCCUCCACCUCCUGAGCCCCCCAUGCCCUCCACCCCCACGCUCAGAUGAGCCUCCCCACUGGGGCCCCGCUCCAAUCUGACCAUGUCGCUUCCCGGCUCCAAACCCUGCGAUGGCCCCAUCUCACGCGAGUAACCUCCAGACCCUUGUCACGAUCUGCAGGCCCCACCUGCCUGGCUGACCUCCUCUCCUCCGUGGUUCCCCCAGCCCUGCUGCUCCUUGGACGCUGGUCCCACUCCCACGGCAAGGCCUUCACCUCGGCUGUGCCCCUGCCUGGAACUCCCGUCCCCCAAACAUUCACCCACUGGCUCCUCUAUCCUGCAGGUCUCAGCUCAGAUGUCACCUCCUCAGGGAGGCCUUCCCUGAUCACGUGUCCUAAGUAACUCCCUGUCACCUCCUGCCCCAUCGAUUGUCUUCCCCAGCUCCUGCCUGACCUGCUCUUAGCACUUAGUGCUCUAUCAGACACUGUUUGCUUAUUCUUGCUAUUCUCCCUUGUUUGCAUGUGUGAGGUCCCCGAGGGCAGGCACCGUGUUGGUUUUAUCCACUGCUGUGUCCCCAGAGCCUGGCACCGAGUCUGGCACACAGUAGGUGCUCCACCGACACAAGCCAGAUGAGCGAACAGCACACAGGAGGGGUGCCAAUGCCCUAAGUUGCCCGGUCAGGCACAGCCCAGGCUCGGACUCUCGGCAUCAGGGAAAAACAAAGGUGUUUAUUUGCAACAGACGCUGAUAUAGCACAAGGCCCGGUAAGGAUGGGCAUGGGUGGAGCCGCCUGGCCGCCCCCAAGUCCCUGAGUCUGGAGUCGGGGUCCCACCAGCGGCCUUCCCUGGAGAGCACGGUGCUCACCCACAAGUGGGCAAGAGGGAGACAAGUGUUGGAAAGCGGGAGGCCCGGGUCCAGCCAAGUCCAUCUCUGGGCCUCAGUUUCCCCAUCUGCACAAUGGAUGCCCACCUCCUGCCCUUCAGCCUCCUCUGACUGGAAGGGCAGGAAAGGCCUUUGGAGAGCGGAGCACCAUCGUUUCUCCUCCAGGAGGACCGAGGCCCUGCAGCAGGGCGCUGGGAGAAGAGCCCCGAGCUCCCAGGGGGGCAGGCCAGGGGUCAGAGAGCGCCCAGGCCAUGGGACGACUCAGACAAUCUUCAUGGUGACGCCAGCAGCUCCAUACUCAGGACAUUGGGCAGAGGGAUCCCCAGCAGCAGGCACUGGGGGCCCAGCCACCGCGCCUGGCUCCUGACGGCUUGUCCCCACAAGGGCCCGUUCCCUUAACCAUCUCUCCCACUGCAUCUCUUCCUGGGACCACCGCCCCCGUGCCCGUUUGAUCUCACCUGCCUUGUCAACACCCUCUGUCCCUGAGCCAGUGGAGAAAGGUGGGGUGCUACCCAGGCCUGUGUCUUCUCUAGCUGGGGGAUGGGGAGCUUAACGGGGAGGGGCCACAAGGACCCCCAGGCUCCAGAGUAAAACCAGCUCUGCUGGUUGAGAAAGAAACACCAAGCCCAUUAGUCCUGCCAGAAGGUAGAAAGAGCACAGUGACGGAGACAGAAACUGAGACGCCGCCCCACCGCUGCGUCCGAGGGAGCCGCGACACCCCACCGACCCCCAGACUUUCCAGGCACACGGCCACGCCCAUGAGAGGGACAGGUGACAAUCUCUGCAGAGACCUGGGGGCAGGAGAAGGGAUAUUCGAGAACUGACUUCAGGGUGGAGUCGGCCUCUCAAAGUCUGGGCAGCAUGGAUGGCUGAGUCUAACCUCAAGUGUCCACUGGGAUCGACUGGAGGUGGCUGCCUGGGAUAGGAUUCUGGAGCCGCGUCCAGGCUCAGGAAGACAGCGCGUGAUCCAUUAGCGAUGUGUGCCCAGAGCAAGAGGUGGGAGGGGGGUGGUACACAGGCAUCUAUUUGCCCUCCUUUCACCCGGGAACAAAUAAAAUUUAAAGGGCC